rnacentral:sRNA from 1 species
GAAAAGUUCAGUUUGAAAAACAGUAAGAAAUUUUGUGGUGUCAAAUAAAUUAUUUUUUUUUCUGUUGGAAGAAAUUUGUGAAAAUUAUAUUCGCAAUUUUGCUGUGGCAAAGUUGCUUGUGGGAGAAAUUGGGAGCGUACUUCUGUCAUUCCUCCCAAUAUUUUUUUAAUUGAGAACUUACGCGACAGAACCAAGAAAUAGCAUCUCCAGAACACCAAAUUAUGAAUUUUUGACGAAUGAUUGUAGCCGUAAAUUUUCUUGUUGAUUAUAUCGUGUACGCCACCAAAGCACGGAAUGGAAUUCAUUGACCGUUUCAAAUGGAUAACCAUAUCAAUGCGCAUAGUUUGAGAUUUUUUUGUUUUUGAAGUAAAACGUGAGAAUGGCCUUAAGAUUAUCUGUACCAUCAACUAAUUGAACUAGUAUACAUGAAAUAGACCUAAUACUUACACAAGUCUA